GCGAAAUACGCCGGGGUUACACUAACUCUAGUCUUACAUUGCCACACUUCCAAGUCUCAGUUAUCACUUGGUUAUUGGAAUGAACUAUUUCAGAACAAAGGAUGCAUCAGCAGCAAGGAGUGUGAACAUCUCCAGGGCAUCGAGGGAGGACUCCUCCACACCUACUGCUGCAAAUAUGAUCUCUGUAACCACUAAAGGGACAGUGCAUUUAAAAUGUCUUCUCUAGUCUUCCAUAAAUUAUAUCACAUGCAGCCUAAAAAUAAAAUAAAUACAUAUCUGCAUGUUUA